rnacentral:lncRNA from 1 species
UAUCAAUACCGAACAAUUUGACAUAUUACCAUUAUUCCGAAAAAGAUAACAAUAAAAACGAUAUGCUCUAUCCGUUGUAGGCGAAUACUCUAACAAAGGAAACUGGUUGAACCAUUUUGCUUGAAAACAACGAGACUGAGAUUUUCCUUGUGUCUUAGGAUACUCAACAAGUCUUGAUUGAUAAGGCUCAGCCUUUAAAUAUGUCACUUUAAUCUCAUCCCGCUGAUUAGAAGGAAAUUCUAGUAUUUGCUUUCUUUUCCCUGAUUCCCGUUCAAUGCUAAUAUUUGAGGAUGAAUUACGUUCAACUUCCGGAGGAAAUGAAGGUAGAUCUUCAAUUAGUCCAUCAAAAGUUGAACUUCCAACAGGUCGAUCAGCCCUUUGGAAGAACGAAAACAAGUUCUUAUUCCUCUCAAACCUUCCAUUUCCAAUUCUUAAAAUUGCAAAAAUAAAAGGGUAAAAAAGAAAAAAUCAAUCAUCGGUGAUUAUUCUAGCAACAAUCCAAAAAUAAUUCACUAAGUUGACAAGGCAAUAACAACAAUCAUUAAACCAACAAGACGACAACAAUAACAAUCAUUAAGCCGACAAGACAACAACAAGUUAUUAAGUUGACAAUGCAAUAUUUCAACAAUAGUUAAUUAACUAAUUCAAUAUUUUGCCAACGAGGCCACAAGUGGAGAGACGAGGGCAUUUACUUACAAGGGAGUAUAUUAAGCUUUUGCAAUUUGCUUUUCCUACAUGUUCGCUGGACCGAGAUUGUGU